AUAGCGUAUAUUAAAGUUGUUGCAGUUAAAAAGCUCGUAGUUGGAUUUCUGGGAGGGUGCCAAUGUCCGCUUGUUGCGUGUGCAGCGGCGCCCUUCCAUCCUUCUGUUAACCCUUCUUGGUAUUAACUUACUGGUUGGGGGCUCAGAUAUUUUACCUUGAGAAAAUUAGAGUGUUUAAGGCAGGCUUGUGCCCGAAUACAUUAGCAUGGAAUAAUAGAAUAGGACUUUGGUCUCCUUUGUUGGUUUGAGGGACUAGAGUAAUGAUUAAUAGGGACAGUUGGGGGCAUUAGUAUUUAAUUGUCAGAGGUGAAAUUCUCGGAUUUGUUAAAGACUAACUUAUG
rnacentral:rRNA from 1 species